UCGCUGACGAGCGGCGGACGGGUGAGUAAUACUUAGGAAUCUACCUAGUAGUGGGGGAUAGCACGGGGAAACUCGUAUUAAUACCGCAUACGACCUACGGGAGAAAGGGGGCAACUUGUUGCUCUCGCUAUUAGAUGAGCCUAAGUCGGAUUAGCUAGAUGGUGGGGUAAAGGCCUACCAUGGCGACGAUCUGUAGCUGGUCUGAGAGGAUGAUCAGCCACACCGGGACUGAGACACGGCCCGGACUCCUACGGGAGGCAGCAGUGGGGAAUAUUGGACAAUGGGGGCAACCCUGAUCCAGCCAUGCCGCGUGUGUGAAGAAGGCCUUUUGGUUGUAAAGCACUUUAAGCAGUGAAGAAGACUCCGUGGUUAAUACCCACGGACGAUGACAUUAGCUGCAGAAUAAGCACCGGCUAACUCUGUGCCAGCAGCCGCGGUAAUACAGAGGGUGCAAGCGUUAAUCGGAAUUACUGGGCGUAAAGGGAGCGUAGGUGGCUCGAUAAGUCAGAUGUGAAAUCCCCGGGCUUAACCUGGGAACUGCAUCUGAUACUGUUGAGCUAGAGUAUGUGAGAGGAAGGUAGAAUUCCAGGUGUAGCGGUGAAAUGCGUAGAGAUCUGGAGGAAUACCGAUGGCGAAGGCAGCCUUCUGGCAUAAUACUGACACUGAGGCUCGAAAGCGUGGGUAGCAAACAGGAUUAGAUACCCUGGUAGUCCACGCCGUAAACGAUGUCUACUAGUCGUUGGGUCCCUUGAGGACUUAGUGACGCAGCUAACGCAAUAAGUAGACCGCCUGGGGAGUACGGCCGCAAGGUUAAAACUCAAAUGAAUUGACGGGGGCCCGCACAAGCGGUGGAGCAUGUGGUUUAAUUCGAUGCAACGCGAAGAACCUUAC
rnacentral:rRNA from 1 species